UACAGAGGUCUCAAGCGUUGUUCGGAUUCACUGGGUUUAAAGGGUGCGUAGGUGGGCAGGUAAGUCAGUGGUGAAAUCUCCGGGCUUAACUCGGAAACUGCCAUUGAUACUAUCUGUCUUGAAUACCGUGGAGGUCAGCGGAAUAUGUCAUGUAGCGGUGAAAUGCUUAGAUAUGACAUAGAACACCAAUUGCGAAGGCAGCUGGCUACACGAAUAUUGACACUGAUGCACGAAAGCGUGGGGAUCAAACAGG
rnacentral:rRNA from 1 species